rnacentral:pre_miRNA from 1 species
CAAACCGUGCUGGAGAAGCAGGGCACGUGCUCGAUCGGCUUGCGCGCUUGCAGCACGUGCACUCCUUCUCCACCAUGGCUUC